GACGAACGCUGGCGGCGUGCUUAACACAUGCAAGUCGAACGGAAAGGCCCUGCUUUUGUGGGGUGCUCGAGUGGCGAACGGGUGAGUAACACGUGAGUAACCUGCCCUUGACUUUGGGAUAACUUCAGGAAACUGGGGCUAAUACCGGAUAGGAGCUCCUGCUGCAUGGUGGGGGUUGGAAAGUUUCGGCGGUUGGGGAUGGACUCGCGGCUUAUCAGCUUGUUGGUGGGGUAGUGGCUUACCAAGGCUUUGACGGGUAGCCGGCCUGAGAGGGUGACCGGCGACAUUGGGACUGCGAUACGGCCCAGAAUGCUACGGGAGGCAGCAGUGGGGAGUAUUGCACAAUGGGCGGAAGCCUGAUGCAGCAACGCCGCGUGCGGGAUGACGGCUUUCGGGUUGUAAACAGCUGUGGACUGUGACGAAGCGUGAUUGACGGUAAUGGGUAAAGAAGCACCGGCUAACUACGUG
rnacentral:rRNA from 1 species